rnacentral:misc_RNA from 1 species
UUAAGUUCAGCGGGUAUCCCUACCUGAUCCGAGGUCAACCUUAAAAAAUUAGGGGUUGUUGGCAAGCAUCCACCUGGACCCUAUAGCGAGGAUAAUUUACUACGCUUAGAGCCAGACGGCACCGCCACUGAUUUUAAGGCCCGCCCAGAGGCGAAACCCAAGACCCCGCAAGCGGGAGUGGUUAAUAUGACGCUCGAACA